GACCGCGUAGCUCAGUUGGCAGAGCGUUGGGCUAGUAUUCCAAAGGUUGUAGGUUCGAUUCCCACCGUGGCCG
rnacentral:tRNA from 1 species